GGAGAGGUGACAGAGCGGCCGAAUGUGACGGUCUUGAAAACCGUUGUGGUGCAAGCCACCAGGGGUUCGAAUCCCCUCCUCUCCG
rnacentral:tRNA from 1 species